AACGCCGUCUAUUGGAACUUUUUACCAUAUUCUCCUUCUGAUGUUGAAAAAACAACUGUUGCCAUUCAUUUGUAACUUUUUCUUCCAAACUGUGCAAGGCAAGAUUCACACAUAUGAUGAUCACAAUCGCUGUUCACUUAGAUGGAAAAUAAAAAUAAUUUUUCUCUGGGCUUUGGUGAGGCAAGAUAAUAAAUACA